GGUCAAAUUGUGCACAUAAAAGAUUUGGAGAUUCAUCAUCAGAUGAUCCAGGUGAGGUCAAGCUAGGCAUGACACGUAUCCAAUGAUCAACUGCAUUUAGAUGCUAGUUGAAUCAAAUGUUGCUUCAAUCGAAUGCAGAUCAAGCAAUAGCUUAGAACAUUUUUGGUGUUAAAGAUGUGAAAUGCAGAACUCGAACCGGGU
rnacentral:lncRNA from 1 species